rnacentral:rRNA from 1 species
GGGUGCAAGCGUUAAUCGGAAUUACUGGGCGUAAAGCGUGCGCAGGCGGUUUUGUAAGUCUGAUGUGAAAUCCCCGGGCUCAACCUGGGAAUUGCAUUGGAGACUGCAAGGCUAGAAUCUGGCAGAGGGGGGUAGAAUUCCACGUGUAGCAGUGAAAUGCGUAGAUAUGUGGAGGAACACCGAUGGCGAAGGCAGCCCCCUGGGUCAAGAUUGACGCUCAUGCACGAAAGCGUGGGGAGCAAACAGGAUUAGAUACCCUGGUAGUCCACGCCCUAAACGAUGUCUACUAGUUGUCGGGUCUUAAUUGACUUGGUAACGCAGCUAACGCGUGAAGUAGACCGCCUGGGGAGUACGGUCGCAAGAUUAAAACUCAAAGGAAUUGACGGGGACCCGCACAAGCGGUGGAUGAUGUGGAUUAA